rnacentral:rRNA from 1 species
UUGGAAUUCCAGGAUUGGAUCAUGGUUCAGAACGAACGCUGGCGGCAAGCCUAACACAUGCAAGUCGAACGGACAAUUAUUUAUAGCUUUUGGCUAUAGGCAAUUGUUAGUGGCAGACGGGUGAGUAAUGCGUAGGAAUCUACCUAGUAGUACGGAAUAGCCAUUAGAAAUGAUGGGUAAUACUGUAUAAUCCCCGCGGGGGAAAGAUUUAUCGCUAUUAGAUGAGCCUACGUUAGAUUAGCUAGUUGGUAAGGUAAUGGCUUACCAAGGCUAUGAUCUAUAGCUGGUCUGAGAGGACGAUCAGCCACACUGGAACUGAGAUACGGUCCAGACUCCUACGGGAGGCAGCAGUGGGGAAUAUUGGACAAUGGGCGAAAGCCUGAUCCAGCUAUGCCGCGUGAGUGAAGAAGGCCUUCGGGUUGUAAAACUCUUUCAAUAGGGAAGAUAAUGACGGUACCUAU